rnacentral:rRNA from 1 species
AUUGAACGCUGGCGGCAUGCCUUACACAUGCAAGUCGAACGGUAACGCGGGGCAACCUGGCGACGAGUGGCGAACGGGUGAGUAAUGCAUCGGAACGUGCCCAGAAGUGAGGGAUAGCCCGGCGAAAGCCGGAUUAAUACCGCAUGAGACCUGAGGGUGAAAGCGGGGGAUCGCAAGACCUCGCGCUUUUGGAGCGGCCGAUGUCAGAUUAGCUAGUUGGUGGGGUAAAGGCCUACCAAGGCGACGAUCUGUAGCUGGUCUGAGAGGACGACCGGCCACACUGGGACUGAGACACGGCCCAGACUCCUACGGGAGGCAGCAGUGGGGAAUUUUGGACAAUGGGCGCAAGCCUGAUCCAGCCAUGCCGCGUGCGGGAAGAAGGCCUUCGGGUUGUAAACCGCUUUUGUCAGGGAAGAAACGCUCUGGGCUAAUACCCUGGGGUAAUGACGGUACCUGAAGAAUAAGCACCGGCUAACUACGUGCCAGCCGCCGCCGUAA